ensembl:ncRNA lncRNA:CR44649 long non-coding RNA:CR44649
UGCGUCGAAGUUUUGAAUAAAUUUUCGCCAUUUGCCGGCGGCAACAGCGGGAACAACAAGGCAACUCGACUGUGCUCCUCGCAACGCCGCAAGGACGCUGAUGCGGAUGCGGAUGAGGAUGCGGACGGGGACGAGGAGAUCGUGGCAUCAUCAAUUUUGGUUUGCGAGACUCAUCAAUAAAACAUAACAGCAGCAAAUGGA